rnacentral:rRNA from 1 species
CAGUCGCCACGGGAAUACGUAGGGUGCGAGCGUUAAUCGGAAUUACUGGGCGUAAAGCGUGCGCAGGCGGUUUUGUAAGACAGGCGUGAAAUCCCCGGGCUCAACCUGGGAAUGGCGCUUGUGACUGCAAAGCUAGAGUGCGGCAGAGGGGGAUGGAAUUCCGCGUGUAGCAGUGAAAUGCGUAGAUAUGCGGAGGAACACCGAUGGCGAAGGCAAUCCCCUGGGCCUGCACUGACGCUCAUGCACGAAAGCGUGGGGAGCAAACAGGAUUAGAUACCCGAGUAGUCCCUGUCUCUUAUAC